rnacentral:rRNA from 1 species
GAUGAACGCUGGCGGCGUGCCUAAUACAUGCAAGUCGAGCGAACGGACGAGAAGCUUGCUUCUCUGAUGUUAGCGGCGGACGGGUGAGUAACACGUGGAUAACCUACCUAUAAGACUGGGAUAACUUCGGGAAACCGGAUCUAAUACCGGAUAAUAUUUUGAACCGCAUGGUUCAAAAGUGAAAGACGGUCUUGCUGUCACUUAUAGAUGGAUCCGCGCUGCAUUAGCUAGUUGGUAAGGUAACGGCUUACCAAGGCAACGAUGCAUAGCCGACCGGAGAGGGUGAUAGGACACCCGGGAACUGAGACACGGUCCAGACUACUACGGGAGGCAGCAGUAGGGAAUCUGCCGCAAUGGGCGAAAGCCUGACGGAGCAACGCCGCGUGAGUGAUGAAGGUCUUCGGAUCGUAAAACUCUGUUAUUAGGGAAGAACAUAUGUGUAAGUAACUGUGCACAUCUUGACGGUACCUAAUCAGAAAGCCACGGCUAACUACGUG